UACGUAUGGAGCAAGCGUUAUCCGGAUUUACUGGGUGUAAAGGGAGCGCAGGCGGUCUGGCAAGUCUGAUGUGAAAGGCCGGGGCUCAACCCCGGGACUGCAUUGGAAACUGUCAGACUGGAGUGUCGGAGAGGUAAGCGGAAUUCCCAGUGUAGCGGUGAAGUGCGUAGAUAUUAGGAGGAACACCAGUGGCGAAGGCGGCUUACUGGACGAUGACUGACGCUGAGGCUCGAAAGCGUGGGGAGCAAACAGG
rnacentral:rRNA from 1 species